ACAUGGACAGGCAGGCAGACCUCCGGGGAUCAGCGCUCCGGAGAGUGGGAGGACAAGAUGAGACGAUGGUGUGCAAAACGUGCAUCUAAACAUGUGUGCAUACAGUCCAUGUUUAUCUGUGAUCAUCAGACCACCCCGGCCACAGUGCAUCAUCCCUAUGUGGGGAAAGUCUUGUUAAUAUGGCGGCGAUGAGGUAAACAGAUAGGAAGUGAUGGAGUGGCAGACCCACGGGGGAUAACCACAUGAGGGGUGACAGACCACUGACAUCAGCUCUUGUUCUCUUGCCUUGCUCGCUUGCUCUCUCCAUCUCUCUCUUCUCCACACACACUCAUUUCCAGGAAGGGGUCAUUAAUGUGAGGGAAAAAAACUGAAUCCAGUCAUGGCUUUAAAAUGGAGUAUCUUCUCAUAGAGAUGCAAUCAUUCCUAACGGGUCUGAGUCAGGCUGCAGUUCUCACAAGAGAACAGCACAAAGAAGCUUUUAAUUCCUCCAUUUAGAGACAAAAUACAUCAUUUAUCAUUAAAGCACUGUUUGGAGGGGAAAAGAGUACUUUUUAGAUUUUAUUUGAGAGUAGCUCCCUAAAGUGGUUAGCAGGGUUCAACUUAACCUGACCAAUAAACCGAGAAAAUGAUCCGCUUUUCGUUCUCUUUAACGCACCAGCCCUCUUAUAAAACUACAGCAGCGGUUCCAACAUCCAUACAGUAGUUAAAUGUUCACAUUUAACAGUCGUAAUUGACAUUUUCCCUCGCUCCCUUCAGCAAUGAUAUAUCAAAGAGUGCAUCAGCCGCCGGAGGAGGAGAGAAAACAUUAGGAGGAUUAAUAAAGGGGGGGAGGAAAAUAGAUUGAGCGUUCACCAAGAUCAGUAAAAUAGGAUCUGUCAAGCAACCCUGAAACAUCCAUCCUGUGGAAAAAAAAGACAGAGGUACAUUUUCAUGGAUGGAAGGAAGGAAAAACAGGACAGCCCGUGCGGCUGAUCAAUUUCCCUAGAUUAGCUUUCAGCGGCUGUGCCCGCUUCCAUUUGUAAAGAUAAUAUUAUGUAAUAACCCUUUUGAGCGACUAUUUAAAUUAUCAUACUGCCUACAGUGCAAGGCGCUAAUGGAAAUAUUUAACAUAAAUUCACUUAAAAAAAUGAUGCCUUUAACAACAGUUGUAAGAAUUAUUCUGAAAUUAAAGGAGUGUGCAUAAAUGAUUCUCCCUGGCCUUGACUCGCUGUUCUCAAUUACAUUCUGCUCAACUGGAACAAUGGAACGAUGCUAGCACGGCGCUUUAUCGCGCAUAUAUAUGCGCUGUUACGAAUGUCAUAUGGAAGCUAUUUAUGGCCACAAGCAUCGGUGCCAAGGGCAUAGAAAACAGGGAUGUUAUUGAAUCAAUUCAGAAUGUGCAAAGGAGCAGUGCGACGAUAGAUCAGGUAGAGCCCAGCCGUUGCUGGGUUCCACUUGAAAAACGAUAGCUUGGCUUUUGUUGUGCGCCUUCAAAGA
rnacentral:lncRNA from 1 species